UACUGGGACAGACUGGGGGGCUACUGGUCUGUACUGGGAGGUACUGGGGGAGGUCACUGGGGGAGAUUGUUACUGGUUUAUACUGGUGCGGAUUGGUGUGAACUGGUCCAUACUGGUCCAUACUGGUCCGUACUGGUUUGUACUGGUUUGUACUGGUCCGUACUGGUCCAUACUGGUCCAUACUGGUCCGUACUGGUCCGUACUGGUCUAUACUGGUUUAUACUGGUCCAUACUGGUCCGUACUGGUUUAUACUGGUCCAUACUGGUUCAUACUGGUGCCGUUCCCAGCAGGGCCGGGCGUGGAGAUCUCGGAUUUCCAGAGGGUUCGUUUCCGUAAGAGCUCCCCUUCCCCACACUGACCCAAAAUCCCCCAAAUUCACCCCAAAAAUCUCCAAAAUCCCCCAAAAGCCCCAAAAGCCCCAAAUUCACCCCAAAAAAAUCCCCCAAAUCACCCAAAACCACCUCAAACCCCCCCAGAAUCACCCUCAAAGCAGCUCCGGGACCCCAAAAAUCCCCAAAUUCACCCCAAAAAUCCCAAAAUUAACCCCAAAAAUCCCAAAAUUCACCCCAAAAAUCCCCAAAUUCACCUCAAAAAUCCCAAAAUUAACCCCAAAAAUCCCAAAAUUCACCCCAAAAAUCCCCAAAUUCACCCCAAAAAUCUCCCAAAUUCACCCCAAAAAUCCCCAAAUUCACCGCCAAAGUCCCCAAAAACCCCCCCAAAGAAAACCACCUCAAAAACCCCAAAAUCACCCUCCGAGCAGCUUUGGGACCCUGAAAACCCCAAAAACCCCGAAAUUCACCCCAAAAAUCCCCAAAUCCCCCAAAACACCUCAAAAACCCCAAAUUCACCCCCAAAAUCCUCAAAUUCUCCAAAAAGCACCUCAAAAACCCCAAAAUCACCCUAAGAGCAGCUCUGGGACCCCCAAAACCCCAAAAAUCCCCAAAAUGGCCCCAAAAUCACCCCCGGGACCCCAAAAUGACCCCCGGGAGCCCCAAAAAAACCCAAAUUAG
rnacentral:lncRNA from 1 species